AUUGAUUUAAGUGUGCCUGAACUUAAAUAAUUUACCUAAGAAGAGGUGUGCAAUAAUAAUUUUCAAUCUCAAGCAUAUAUUAUUACGUGAUGUGCAACAAAUGGAUGGUAAAUAGGCAAUUCGAGUGUCACUGCCGUCAGUAGUUAGGUAAGUAGACGUAGACACUUAGGUGUGUCACACCUUAUUAAUUAUUAGUUAUUAUUUUAUUAAUAAUAGUAGGUAUCUAUAGCUUAUAGACAUACUUAUUACUUAAUACUCAUUCUCAAAAACAUUUUAGAGAUUUGGCGUCCUACGUCUUUAUUUAGACAUGUAAAUAGGUCGUUUGUGUUGUCUCCGUCUUACCAACAAGUAACAUGGAAAAUUUACGCUCAGCCAUAUAUUGCGCUCAGCAGAUCACGUUUAAUUCCGUUGGCUUAAAAAUUAGUGUGAAUCUACCUAUUAUGAAACUUGAUGGUAAGAUCAUUAUGUCUAUGUGUUCCAAUAUUAUGUUGGGUUUUAAUGA